rnacentral:rRNA from 1 species
GACGAACGCUGGCGGCGUGCUUAACACAUGCAAGUCGAGCGAGAGCCUGGGGGCUUGCCCCCAGGGGACAGCGGCGAACGGGUGCGUAACACGUGGGCAACCUGCCCCUCUCUCUGGGAUAACCCCGGGAAACCGGAGCUAAUACCGGAUACUCCGGCUGGAUCACAUGGUCCGGCCGGGAAAGGUCCGCCGGAGAGGGAUGGGCCCGCGGCCUAUCAGCUUGGUGGUGAGGUAACGGCUCACCAAGGCGACGACGGGUAGCUGGUCGGAGAGGACGACCAGCCACACUGGAACUGAGAUACGGUCCAGACUCCGACGGGAGGCAGCAGUGGGGAAUAUUGCGCAAUGGGCGAAAGCCUGACGCAGCGACGCCGCGUGGGGGAUGAAUGCCUUCGGGUUGUAAACCCCUUUCGGCAGGGACGAAGCGAUGGUGACGGUACCUGCAGAAGAAGUCCCGGCUAACUACGUGCCAGCCGCCGCGGUAAAAC